rnacentral:rRNA from 1 species
GGCGGCUAGUUCAUUUAGAGUAAAGACUGAGGCAGGCCCUCUUUCAUCUCUUUUGACUGACUAGCUUGAGUUCUAAAGGCGAUAUAUUGAACUCCUUAAGUAAGGGUAAAAUCUGUUGAUCUUUGGAGGACAUCGAAAGCGAAAGCAAUUAUCGAUUUAKAUCUGACGCAAGGUACUAAAGUGUGGGUAUCAAAAAGGAUUAGAGACCCUUGUAGUCCACACUUAAACCAUGAGUGUUCAACAUCCUAUGAUAAGGUAAAAACACUAAGAAAUUAGCUAUGUUUUUACCAGAAAUCUAAGGGGAUUUAAAGCUAACGCGAAAACACUCCGCUGGGGAAUGUGGCCGCAAGGUCUAAACUCAACGGAAUGACGGAGACUUGUACAAAG